rnacentral:rRNA from 1 species
AAUGAACGCUGGCGGCGUGCUUAACACAUGCAAGUCGUACGAGAACUCUUUAGCUUGCUAAAGAUAGUAAAGUGGCGUACGGGUGAGUAAUACGUGGGUAAUCUACCUCCGAAUUGGGGAUAACAUUGCGAAAGCGAUGCUAAUACCGAAUAAUAUCUUUUUUGCUGCGGUAUUAAAGAUCAAAGGUGGUCUCUACAUGUAAACUACUGUUUGGAGAUGAGCCCGCGUACCAUUAGCUAGUUGGCAGGGUAAUGGCCUACAAGGCUUCGAUGGUUAGCUGGUCUGAGAGGAUGAUCAGCCACACUGGAACUGACACACGGUCCAGACUCCUACGGGAGCAG